rnacentral:rRNA from 1 species
AUGCCUUGCUCCAUCGCCUGCUCUCCUACCAUCCGUCCUCACCCCGUCGCCACCUCGACUCUUCCGCAUCCGGUGCGACACCGGCGCAUCCCUCGCAUGCCGGUGAGCUCUCCAUCGAGCAGUAGCCACCGCGCUGCCCUCCUACUUUGCCUUUUUCCCAUCCUUCCCUGCACUUCUCUCACCUCUCUCUGCCUCGCAUCCACAGGGACCCGAGACGCCGCUGGCACGCGGAACGACGACGCCCCAGCUGGAUCGAGGCCCUGCUCCAUCGCAUGCUCUCCCGCCGUCCGUCCUCAUCUCGAAUCGAUCAUGCCGGCAGCCGUCGUUGCCAGAUCCUAG